rnacentral:lncRNA from 1 species
CUCUGGAGAAUAUUCUCGUUUGCAGUUAUCUUCGCUGCAUUACUUAUAGCAGCAGUUUAUGGUAAGGAAGAGGAGAAGAAAGAAGAGAAGAAGCCUGUGGAGACAGUUGUCUGGCCUGGUAUGUACACUCUCCAAUGGCAUCAUAACGUUCCACUGAAGACCGUGCCCCUCAUUCAUCCAGUUCAGUACCAUCCUCUUUACACAUGGUGGCGUUAAUCCUCUAAAAUUCUCUUCCCAAGAUUGACCGGACUCAAGAAAUGGAUCAUUAUGCUUUAAAAAUGUUAUAGCUAUCCUUCUAUAAAAUAUUCAACAGAAAGGCAGCUUUCUUCCAAUGAAUUAAGUUUCAUAUUUCUGUAUUUCGGUUCAUAGUGAAAAAUAUAAGAUUCCUAAAAUAAGU